UACGAAGGGGGCUAGCGUUGUUCGGAAUUACUGGGCGUAAAGGGCGCGUAGGCGGCUCUGCUCGUCGGAUGUGAAAGGCCUGGGCUCAACCUGGGAAUGGCAUUGGAUACUGGCGAUCUAGAGUGCGGUAGAGGGCAGUGGAAUUCCCGGUGUAGCAGUGAAAUGCGUAGAGAUCGGGAGGAACAUCUGUGGCGAAGGCGACUGCCUGGACCAGCACUGACACUGAGGCACGAAAGCGUGGGGAGCAAACAGG
rnacentral:rRNA from 1 species